rnacentral:lncRNA from 1 species
CUCUGCACAGGUGCUGGGCAAAUUCUUAGUGCUGAAAGGUCACCCUGUUCUCUCUGCUGUUUAUUGAACUGCAUUAGCAUCACCUUCAGAGGAAGUUGGUCACCUUUCCUUUAUGUGAAGGCACAAAGUGGUGGAGGGAAAAAGAGAAAGUGUAUGUUACGACGAUUGAGUCGUGUGACAAAGGCAGCCUGCAAAGGAGGACCAAAGGCUUUGGAUCCAGGCAAGAUAACACGGGCAAGUCCACAAGAAGCCU